ensembl:lncRNA
CUUCGGGGCGGGUCGGUCAGGAGCCAGAGGGAGAAGUAAAGUUGAGGGUGCAGGGCUCCUUGUUCAUUCAUGGGUACUUUGCCCUGCACACACUUCCUUUGUCAUUUUGCUUAUUGUCGCCUUCAUCAGGUAGAGUUGAAGUCUGCUGUGUUCACGGCAUAACCACAGCACUCAGACCACCACUUAGUGAUCACAGGAAGCACUGUCUGGUCCCUGCCUGGAGGGUGCACCACCAUCCAGCAGAAAGCAAGCCAACAGACAGAGCAUGAUCAGCCUGGGAGCUCGGUGACCUGUAGGAUGCUACAGGAGCAAGGACCAAACAGACCUCUUCUCCGGGGCACCUAACAGGCCCCCUCUGGAGCCUAGCACCACGUCUGUGCCUGAGGAGGUCUGCUGAAUGAAUGAGCAAAUGAUUUGAGACCUGCUCCUCAAGAGCGGAGCAAUGGAGUGCAGGCCAGGAAAAGAAGGCAAGGACGGUUGGCCAGGCUCCGGGGGUCUCUUGAGGAACGACACAGAGCCCUGGCACCCUGUUGCGUGUUGAAUGUCUGGGCUGCUACAAAGCUAAUGGGUGAAUAACCCGAGGCUUCUAAGGAUGGGAAAAGGACUUUUUCUGAGAAAUCUGAGAUGAUGCUUAUCUCUUGUUGUUGUUCAGUCGCUCAGUCAUAUCUGACUCUUUAUGACCCCAUGGACUUCAGCGCACCAGGCUUCCCUGUCCUUCACCAUCUCCCAGAGUUUGUUUAAAUUCACAUCCAUUGAAUCAAUGAUGCCAUCCAACCUUUGUUACCCCGUUCUCCUCCUGCCCACCAUCUUUCCCAGCAACAGGGUCUUUUCCAACGAGUCAGCUCUUCUUUUCUCUGAUAGAAUGAAAAACCACGGUGAUAAAAAGGGUAACCUACCACUGGAGAGGUUCCAAGCUCUUUCUGAACCAGGCACGGAUGAAGGUCUGGGCAGAAGCCUGUCUUCUGAUGGACAGCCCUUGCUGAAAAACAGAUGGGGCCUCACUGC